UAAGCAGAGAGUGAAAGCGUGUGGCUCAACCAUAUAAACAUUCUUUGAACUAGCAAACUAGAGGGCGAGAGAGGUUAUUGGAAUUGCUAGUGUAGGAGUGAAAUCCGUAGAUAUUAGCAGGAACACCGAUGGCGUAGGCAGAUAACUGGCUCGCACCUGACGCUCAGACACGAAAGCGUGGGUAGCAAACGGGAUUAGAUACCCCGGUAGUCCACGCCCUAAACUAUGGAUGCUA
rnacentral:rRNA from 1 species